UGCGGAGGAUCAUUAUUGAAACUUCAUCCGGGGCGCCGCGGCCCUCGGCACCGGUGGAAACGCCGUGUUGCGGGGACCGCGCGUGCACUCGUCCAAACCAAACCCCUGUGAACCUUACGGGAUGGUCCGGGUUAGCGCCUGGUGCCGUUCCGCUUUAUACAAACACUUAUAAAAGAAUGAACUGAAGGCGGUCUGACCGCUGGAUAACAAACUGAAACAACUUUCAACAACGGAUCUCUUGGCUCUCGCAUCGAUGAAGAACGCAGCGAAAUGCGAUAAGUAAUGUGAAUUGCAGAAUUCAGUGAAUCAUCGAAUCUUUGAACGCACCUUGCGCCCUCUGGUAUUCCGGAGGGCAUGCCUGUUUGAGUGUCUUGAUAUCAUCAAACCCUCGGGUUCGCGCCUGCUGCGGUUUGGAGUUGGGGGCUUGCUGCCGCAAGGCGGCUCCCCUUAAAAUCAUCGGUUUGGCUCGCAUCAUGCGGCUUGCACCUUUGGCGUUGUAUUUUCCUCGCCUUCAAUCGGUCUCGCUCGUUUCCGCGCCUCACCUCGACUUGCCCUUUGGGUGGCGGUCACUUCUUGACAAUCUGGCCUCAAAUCAGGUAGGACUACCCGCUGAACUUAAGCAUAUCAAUAAGCGGAGGAAAAGAAACUAACAAGGAUUCCCCUAGUAACUGCGAGUGAAGCGGGAAAAGCUCAAAUUUGAAAUCUGGCGGUUUCUGCCGUCCGAGUUGUAUUCUGGAGAAGCGUUUUCCGUG
rnacentral:rRNA from 1 species